AUACGUAGGUGGCAAGCGUUGUCCGGAAUUAUUGGGCGUAAAGCGCGCGCAGGUGGUUCCUUAAGUCUGAUGUGAAAGCCCCCGGCUCAACCGGGGAGGGUCAUUGGAAACUGGGGAACUUGAGUGCAGAAGAGGAUAGUGGAAUUCCAAGUGUAGCGGUGAAAUGCGUAGAGAUUUGGAGGAACACCAGUGGCGAAGGCGACUGUCUGGUCUGUAACUGACACUGAGGCGCGAAAGCGUGGGGAGCAAACAGGAUUAGAUCCCCUGGUAGUCCACGCCGUAAACGAUGAGUGCUAAGUGUUGGGGGGUUUCCGCCCCUCAGUGCUGCAGCUAACGCAUUAAGCACUCCGCCUGGGGAGUACGGUCGCAAGACUGAAACUCAAAUGAAUUGACGGGG
rnacentral:rRNA from 1 species